rnacentral:rRNA from 1 species
ACUCAAAUGAAUUGACGGGGGCCCGCACAAGCGGUGGAGCAUGUGCAUUAAUUCGUCACUAACCGAAGAACCUUACCAGGGUUUGACAUCCUCUGACAUCCUAUGAAAGUAGGCUUUCCUCGCAAGAGGACAGAGAGACAGGUGUUGCAUGGUUGUCGUCAGCUCGUGUCGUGAGAUGUUGGGUUAAGUCCCGCAACGAGCGCAACCCUCACCCAAUGUUGCCAGCGUCAAGUCGGGCACUCUUUGGGAACUGCCCGUGUAAGCGGGAGGAAGGUGGGGAUGACGUCAAAUCGGCAUGGCCCUUACAUCCUGGGCUUGACACAUGCUACAAUGGCCGUUAAACAGAGCGACGCAAUACCGCGAGGUGGAGCCAAUCGCAAAAAUACGGUCUCAGUUCGGAUUGCAGGCUGCAACUCGCCUGCAUGAAGUCGGAAUCGCUAGUAACCGCAGGUCAGCUAAACUGCGGUGAAUACGUUCCCGGGCCUUGUACACACCGCCCGU